rnacentral:lncRNA from 1 species
UCUGGAGUUGAUGUGAAGCUGAGGCUAGACAACACCUCCCAAGAUCUGGGUGAGAGUGACAAUUUAUAGAAGUAUCAAGGGAAGCCCUUUGCAUUACCUAAAGGUUCUAUAAAUGGAUCAGAAAAACAUCCCCGUGAGCAUGCUGAAAGGGACUUGAAGGCAUUUGGACUUUGCUCUCCAGCAUAAACUCCAUAGUGGUGUCAGUGGUGCAGUGCAGACCGACGCCAGGCACUGCCUGUCACCACAGCGGCUGGGAGUCCUGGCUGGCGAUCUCGGCCUGCUCCUGUUCCUAAGAGCAGGGCCUUCAACGCAGCCCUAAAGGGCCUGGGCUGCCACAGAGGUAAGUUCUA